rnacentral:rRNA from 1 species
GAAAGCGGAGCUAAUACCGCAUAACACCAUGGAGUAUAAGCUCUCAUGGUCAAAGCCUUCGGGCGCUUGAGGAUGAGCUUGCGGCUUAUUAGCUAGUUGGUGGGGUAACGGCCUACCAAGGUAAUGAUGAGUAGCCGGCCUGAGAGGGUGUACGGCCACACUGGAACUUAGACACGGUCCAGACUCCUACGGGAGGCAGCAGUGAGGAAUUUUGCGCAAUGGGGGAAACCCUGACGCAGCGACGCCGCGUGGAGGAUUAAGGCCUUCGGGUUGUAAACUCCUGUCAGUGGUGAAGAAUGCCCCUUUGGGGGUUUGACGGUAACCACAGAGGAAGUCCCGGCUAACUACGUGCCAGCAGCCGCGGUAAUACGUAGGGGACGAACGUUGCUCGGAAUUACUGGGCGUAAAGGGUGCGUAGGUGGCUGAGUAAGUCGUAGAUGAAAUCCCCGGGCUCAACUCGGGAACUGUCUCCGAAACUGCUCAGCUUGAGGAUGGUUGAGGAAAGCGGAAUUCCCGGUGGAGCGGUGAAAUGCGUA